UACGUAGGGUGCAAGCGUUAAUCGGAAUUACUGGGCGUAAAGCGUGCGCAGGCGGCUUUGCAAGACAGAUGUGAAAUCCCCGAGCUUAACCUGGGAACUGCAUUUGUGACUGCAUGGCUGGAGUGCGGCAGAGGGGGAUGGAAUUCCGCGUGUAGCAGUGAAAUGCGUAGAUAUGCGGAGGAACACCGACGGCGUAGGCAGCGCCCUAGACGAGACCUGACGCUCAGGUGCGAAAGCCAGGGGAGCGAACGGG
rnacentral:rRNA from 1 species